rnacentral:misc_RNA from 1 species
AUUUUAGGAAACUUUUGUUAGUGCGCACCAAAAAGCCUUGGGCCAGGCAACGGUGUUUUGCGCGCAUGCAAAUUUUGGGACCCGGAGGUUAUAUAUGGGAGUGGGAUGAGUCGAAAGCAAAAAGAGACAAGAAGAGAAUUUGCAAGUGGCUUCGGCUGGUUUGUGAAUUACUUGGGCUGGAUCUUUGGGCUGGAGGCUGUAUAUAUAGGUAAGUUUGGCGAGGGGACUGUUGCUGGUCCCCAGGGCGCCAUUGGGUAAAGUCAUUGGGGAGAGAAAUUAGGGGGCUGGGUUCUCCAGUUCCUGAGGGCUCUCCCUAAGAUUUUGUCACUUUCCCUCACUCCCUCACCCCCCCUUCAGCGUACUCUAGGGUGCGCACUGCAGUAAAACCUUUUGGUGCUACUGUAUGGCCUCGCGAUUUAUCGCCCAAGUCUCGGGAUGACAACGUCUCCCCGAGCAAGGAAAGAAACAGUGGAUUACUAGGCAAUGCCAAAGAAAUCCCAAACUCCAAGAUCACUCGGAUCUUUUUUUAUCACUACGAGUCAGUGGACAACCCCAAAAAAAUAACUUCUUC